GUCCUUUUGGUUUUUAUUCAAGGUCUGACCUGCCCACUGAUAUAUUUAAUGGCCGCGGUAUUUUGACCGUGCAAAGGUAGCAUAAUAAUUUGUCUUUUAAUUGAAGGCUUGUAUGAAUGGUUGGACGAGAAAACUACUUUCUUUAUAAUAAAAUAAUUAAUUUUAUUUUUUAGUUAAAAAGCUAAAAUAUUGUUGUAGGACGAGAAGACCCUAUAGAACUUUAUAUUUAUUGUUGUAUUAAUAUUUUUUGUUUAUAAUAUAUUGUAUUUUUAUAAAUAUUUUGUUGGGGCGACAAGAAAAUUUAUUUAACUUUUUUUAUAGAUUUCAUUAAUUUAUGUAUAAAUGAUCCUUUACUAAGGAUAAUUAGAAUAAGUUACCUUAGGGAUAACAGCGUAAUUUUUUUGGAGAGUUCUUAUCGAUAAAGAAGUUUGCGA
rnacentral:rRNA from 2 species